AUCACUCUCUGGACAUUAGAGAGGGAAAGCAGAAAGCCUGGGGAUCCAGGCCCCAGAAGGAAGGAUUUAUCAAAAAGGGUGGUAGAGCAGAAGCCUGAGAAAGGCAGCCUAGGAAAAGGCUCAGGAAAAUGGCAGAAAGUGUUGUCAGAUGUCAUCAGCGGUCAGGGUCACCAGUGUUGUCAGAUGUCACCGGUGUGGUGCUCUGCUCUGUUCAAUGAUGAUAACAGUCGGCUGCGUGCGUGUGUUCCCUCUGUGUGCUGCCCUGGCUCUGCAGAUCGCUGACACAGCAGGCCCUGAGAGAACCCCAAUGACCACAGGCUCUGAUAAGAGUUUCUCUUGGACCUGGAGUAAGACCUGUCAAAUGGCUACAAUUUUUGAGAUGGCUGUAAUUAAGUCCCAGGGGGAGAGAGGGAAAAGGUUUGCUUUUCUUCAGCACUUGGCCGGACUCAGCUCCUGCCUUCAACUAUUCCACUGCAAAACCCAAAAUGAUAGCAGUUCAAAAGGAGAUUAAGAGUAUCUCAAAAACUUGUAUACAGAGGAUACUCUGAGAAACCUCAAUGUAAAACAGUUUACUGUAUAUACGUCUGUACUACCAUGUAGCACAAGUGAAGACUGGAAAGUGACUCUUGCCAUGCAGUGAGACUACAGAAGAAAAAUUGGGAAAUACAUCAUUGAGAGCUGACCAAUGAGCUAAACAGGCCUAGAACUGCCACAUAACUAGUCUUGAAUUGACUUGUAGGACCACCCUUGUAAGAUACAUAUUUACUUAAGUCACUGAUCCCAGCUGAGUUAAUGAGGGUGGGGUGAGGGGAGUAAUUAUUCCAUCCAAGGAGUUAGCCCAAUGAUGAGACAUUUGAGAUAAUGUUAAAGAGGAAAAGUUGUCAUGGAUGAGACAGCUGAAGUCUCAGAAUUAAACUAGUAACUGAUAAAUGCUCUAGGUCUCCUGAGUACGAAGAAGUAGACUGUGAAAUUGUUCAAAUAACAUAAAAAACAAUAGCCAUUAAUAGGAGGUUUUAACUUCUUAGGUAUAGAUGGGAUUACAAAGGGGGUGGGAGGAGAUAAAAUGCUUGGAAACAAGAUUAUGAAUCAGUCAGUGACUUGUCACUAGCUGGAAAAGACUCUUUUCUAACAAGAGAGAUCUCUUAAUGGAAGAGCCAGGAUUCAUCAGUGUUAAUGUUAAAACUGUGUCAGAAUACAUGGAAACCACUGAAUUAUCACUUGGUAUGAUGAACUGGGAAUAUGUCUGUACAACAUGUGAAUUAUGUGCGAGAUUAUGAAUCCUACAUGUCUGUUAGGCUGCAAACUCCAUUCCGAAUGUGUACCCUUUUCCCUUCUCUAUUGUCUAUUCCAAAGGCUGAUGGCAAAAGAAUAACAAUAGAGUGUGGAUGACUCUUCAGUAUCCGAUCACUGAAAAUCUAAUUAGUCUGAACAAAAGACUGGUCCCUGCCUGGAAGAACUGAUUUAGCAGCGGAGGUCACAUUGGCAACAAAACCACCCAGCUGGGAUUUGUGCUCAUGUGAGGAAGUUGGCAAGGUGUCACCUGACACAGAUGGGCUGAAGGUUUUGAAAGGGUAGAGGUUGGUCUGCUCAGGGGCCAUUUUCUCCAGUUUAUGUUGAGGGUGGGAGACCAAUUAGUAUGGAACAGCCUGCAUGAGGAGGGGAUACCUUGCCUGCCUGUCGUCCUGGACCAGAUGGUUCCCCCAGGACUCACAAGAAAAUGGUGAGCUAGGAAGUGAGGGACAUUGUUUUUAUGAGUUUUAUUGUUCUGUAUCAUCUGUACUCCGUUGUGCUUUACAUGAUUAAAUAUAAAAAAAGCAUAAUGAUGUUAGACUG